rnacentral:rRNA from 1 species
GCGUGCUUAACACAUGCAAGUCGAACGGAAAGGCCCUGCUUUUGUGGGGUGCUCGAGUGGCGAACGGGUGAGUAACACGUGAGUAACCUGCCCUUGACUUUGGGAUAACUUCAGGAAACUGGGGCUAAUACCGGAUAGGAGCUCCUGCUGCAUGGUGGGGGUUGGAAAGUUUCGGCGGUUGGGGAUGGACUCGCGGCUUAUCAGCUUGUUGGUGGGGUAGUGGCUUACCAAGGCUUUGACGGGUAGCCGGCCUGAGAGGGUGACCGGCCACAUUGGGACUGAGAUACGGCCCAGACUCCUACGGGAGGCAGCAGUGGGGAAUAUUGCACAAUGGGCGGAAGCCUGAUGCAGCAACGCCGCGUGCGGGAUGACGGCCUUCGGGUUGUAAACCGCUUUCGCCUGUGACGAAGCGUGAGUGACGGUAAUGGGUAAAGAAGCACCGGCUAACUACGUGCCAGCAGCCGCGGUGAUACGUAGGGUGCGAGCGUUGUCCGGAUUUAUUGGGCGUAAAGGGCUCGUAGGUGGUUGAUCGCGUCGGAAGUGUAAUCUUGGGGCUUAACCCUGAGCGUGCUUUCGAUACGGGUUGACUUGAGGAAGGUAGGGGAGAAUGGAAUUCCUGGUGGAGCGGUGGAAUGCGCAGAUAUCAGGAGGAACACCAGUGGCGAAGGCGGUUCUCUGGGCCUUUCCUGACGCUGAGGAGCGAAAGCGUGGGGAGCGAACAGGCUUAGAUACCCUGGUAGUCCACGCUGUAAACGGUGGGUACUAGGUGUGGGGUCCAUUCCACGGGUUCCGUGCCGUAGCUAACGCUUUAAGUACCCCGCCUGGGGAGUACGGCCGCAAGGCUAAAACUCAAAGGAAUUGACGGGGCCCCGCACAAGCGGCGGAGCAUGCGGAUUAAUUCGAUGCAACGCGUAGAACCUUACCUGGGUUUGACAUGGAUCGGGAGUGCUCAGAGAUGGGUGUGCCUCUUUUGGGGUCGGUUCACAGGUGGUGCAUGGCUGUCGUCAGCUCGUGUCGUGAGAUGUUGGGUUAAGUCCCGCAACGAGCGCAACCCUUGUUCACUGUUGCCAGCACGUUAUGGUGGGGACUCAGUGGAGACCGCCGGGGUCAACUCGGAGGAAGGUGGGGAUGACGUCAAGUCAUCAUGCCCCUUAUGUCCAGGGCUUCACGCAUGCUACAAUGGCUGGUACAGAGAGUGGCGAGCCUGUGAGGGUGAGCGAAUCUCGGAAAGCCGGUCUCAGUUCGGAUUGGGGUCUGCAACUCGACCUCAUGAAGUCGGAGUCGCUAGUAAUCGCAGAUCAGCAACGCUGCGGUGAAUACGUUCCCGGGGCUUGUACACACCGCCCGUCAAGUCAUGAAAGUUGGUAACACCCGAAGCCGGUGGCCUAACCGUUGUGGGGGAGCCGUCGAAGGUGGGACUGGUGAUUAGGACUAAGA